UCGGGCGUGGUUUAUGGGACACCGCGGGCCUCAUUAUUGAAUGGAUUCAUCGGGAGCCCGCAGACCGGGGUUCGACUCCCCGCGCCCGAA